ACUAACAAGGAUUCCCCUAGUAACUGCGAGUGAAGCGGGAAAAGCUCAAAUUUAAAAUCUGGCGGUCUUUGGCCGUCCGAGUUGUAAUCUAGAGAAGUAAUGCCCGUGCUGGACCGUGUAUAAGUCUCCUGGGAUGGGGCGUCAUAGAGGGUGAGAAUCCCGUCUUUGACACGGACUACCAGUGCAUUGUGGUAUGCUCUCAAAGAGUCGAGUUGUUUGGGAAUGCAGCUCAAAAUGGGUGGUAAAUUCCAUCUAAAGCUAAAUAUUGGCGAGAGACCGAUAGCGAACAAGUACCGUGAGGGAAAGAUGAAAAGAACUUUGGAAAGAGAGUUAAACAGUACGUGAAAUUGCUGAAAGGGAAACGCUUGAAGUCAGUCGCGUUGGCYGGGAAUCAGCCCUGCUUUUGCAUGGUGUACUUUCUGGUUGACGGGUCAGCAUCAAUUUUGAUCACUGGAAAAGGCUCAAGGGAAUGUGGCAGCUUCGGCUGUGUUAUAGCCCCUGUUCACAUACAGUGGUUGGGAUUGAGGAACUCAGCACGCCGCAAGGCCGGGUUUCGACCACGUUCGUGCUUAGGAUGCUGGCAUAAUGGCUUUAAGCGACCCGUCUUGAAACACGGACCAAGGAGUCUAACAUGCCUGCGAGUAUUUGGGUGGAAAACCCAGGUGCGCAAUGAAAGUGAAAGUUGAGAUCCCUGUCGUGGGGAGCAUCGACGCCCGGACCAGAACUUUUGGGACGGAUCCGCGGUGGAGCAUGUAUGUUGGGACCCGAAAGAUGGUGAACUAUGCCUGAAUAGGGUGAAGCCAGAGGAAACUCUGGUGGAGGCUCGUAGCGAUUCUGACGUGCAAAUCGAUCGUCAAAUUUGGGUAUAGG
rnacentral:rRNA from 1 species